AGAAGAUGAAGAACCAUUCUGUGGGUUCGAACCAUCGCUUGAACCUCCGCCAGCCAAAAGAAGAAAAAGAAAACAAUGGAAGAAGAAUUUCUGUACUAUUGAGUGUUAUCAGCUAAAUUAGCCAUUGUUAUCGAAAUGAGCCAAUAAUAUUUUGUAUAGAGAUACAUUCGAGUUAAAAUAGUUAAUGCUUUUGUAUAAGCAGUCUGAACUAACUUACAUAAUGAAUUUUCAACUACAAAGGGAAGGAAUUGUAAUGUAUUCUGAAUUUCGAUUUAUUUUUAUUUCAAGUGUAAAAG